rnacentral:rRNA from 1 species
GACGACGCUGGCGGCGUGCCUAAUACAUAGCAAGUUGAGCGCUGAAGGUUGGUACUUGUACCGACUGGAUGAGCAGCGAACGGGUGAGUAACGCGUGGGGAAUCUGCCUUUGAGCGGGGGACAACAUUUGGAAACGAAUGCUAAUACCGCAUAAAAACUUUAAACACAAGUUUUAAGUUUGAAAGAUGCAAUUGCAUCACUCAAAGAUGAUCCCGCGUUGUAUUAGCUAGUUGGUGAGGUAAAGGCUCACCAAGGCGAUGAUACAUAGCCGACCUGAGAGGGUGAUCGGCCACAUUGGGACUGAGACACGGCCCAAACUCCUACGGGAGGCAGCAGUAGGGAAUCUUCGGCAAUGGACGAAAGUCUGACCGAGCAACGCCGCGUGAGUGAAGAAGGUUUUCGGAUCGUAAAACUCUGUUGGUAGAGAAGAACGUUGGUGAGAGUGGAAAGCUCAUCAAGUGACGGUAACUACCCAGAAAGGGACGGCUAACUACGUG